rnacentral:tRNA from 1 species
UAUGGCAGAUUAGUGCAAUGGAUUUAAAUUCCUUUUAUAAAGAUUUAUAUCUUUUAUUAAAA